AUGGGGUGGCUUGGAUCCUUACUCUCCCCAUUGAAGAAGAUCUGGGUUCGACUUCAUUCAACCAAUAAAAGGAGUAGAGGAAUAUACAUCUUAUAUAAGGAUGUGAAGUCAUGUCCAUGUGAAGAUGUGCAAGUUCUAUGGUCAAUAUUGGUUGAGUCAAGCGCAGCCUCUGCUUCUUUACCAUCAAAAUAUACACAUUAA